rnacentral:piRNA from 1 species
UAGUGCCCUUGGAUGUACUAGCAGG